GAGAGAGAGAGAGAGAGAGAGAGAGAGAGAGAGAGAACCCUCUUAGGGAACACUAUUGACCUACUUCUUCCAAUGAGGCCCGAUCUCUUCAAGUUUCCCCACAAUCCACUAGUCCAUUAAGCGAAGCAUCCUUCUGAGGAUGAAUCUACAGAUGAGGUCAGGGCCUUCACCAACCAUCCAACCACUUCCUAAAGGCCCCAUCUCUGUGAACACUGAUACACUGAAGAGUACACCUUCUUCAACAUGUGAGUUUUUGGGAAACGCUUCCGCUCCACAGCAGACCAACAAGGGCACCUGAGCGAAGCCACCUCAUAUGGCUGCCGAGAGGGGAAGACUCUGCCUGCUCCAGGCUAAGAACUGUACCUGACCCACAGUGGGUACUGCCCUACUGUGCGAGUGGGAGUGUUUAUGUUGUUAGACACCCUUGUGGCAUUAGCAGAGGGCACUUGUCUGAGGACCUAUUUUGUAAGGGUUUGAGGACUGUGCAGUCUACUGCCUGGGGUCCUGAUAAGUUCCUGUCCUCACAGCAACACAUAUUCAUGGAUGAGACAGCACCAGAGGUCAGAGCUGACAGGGAGGUGGCCAGACGGGAGCCAUAUGUGAGCACAGCCAUUGUAUACAACAGCUACUUGAGCAGGCAGCCGUAGGCCUCCGGCAACUCCCCAUCGUCUCCAAUAGAUUGGAACCAAGCAGCAGAUACCCCUGUAACUGGAUAUGCUGUCCAUUUUACACAGUCUUACCAGGAGAAACCUCAACUCCUCAGGCUGGACGAAGGCUCUUUACCAUGAGCAUCCCAGGCUUAACCUAUGCCUCUGCCUCAUACCUCUCUCUCUUGUCGUUCUCAUACCCCAACCCCUUAUCCAGUGUUUGUAAACAUAAGACUCUUUUGUAACAUGCUUUAGUGCCUGUUUUGCAAGGGUUUCAUUUUCCAGGAGUGUGCAUGGUGACAUUGGCUCAGUUCAGUGCCAUGUCUGCCUUUUUUGCUGUCAACACACUCUACAUCCUGCCUCAUCAUCACCAUGGGCCCCUCUCUCAACCUUCUCACCUAUUUAUUGUCACCAUGGACACACUCGCAGCCCACCUUCCCUUCCUCCCUUGUCUCUAAUGAACAGAACAUCACUCAUAGACAAGGAUGGGGCAGGAACACAGACUCCGAUUAGAGCCACAUGCAAGUCCUGUUCCCACUGAUCAUGAAGUCAAGGAUGCCUACAGAGUUCUCCAUAAUCCCUCUGAGUCUGAGUUUCCUCAUCAGCCAAGUAAGUGUCCCACACAUCUGCCGUAGGUCACUCUUCUGAGAGGCUUCACGGAGGGAGACUGGGGAAUGCACUCUGUGCAGUAGCCACAGCAUGGCAGGAGGUCAGCAAGCGUCCACACAUGAAUGAGGGGCGCAGAGCCCCUGGCUUUCUGCAGCCUCUGCCCUCCAGACCACCCUUCCCAAACCUCCCAUCCUCCAUCCUGACAACAGUACUUCUGCACUUUCCUCCUUUUCCUCUUCCUAAUUGCUUUACAGGAUUGGGAAGGAGGAUCACAAAAUACCCACAAAAACCCAACAGUGUUUCUACUGGGGGUUCAGAAGAUUGGAGAUCAGUUGCCUGUGUCUCUCACAAAUAAAUUAAUGGAGAGGCAGCUUUUGUAACAAAAUAUGAUUCUGGUAGAAGGAUUAUGUGCACAAAAUCCAGAUAGAAUAUGUUACAUAUGUGGAGGGUUGUGUGAGUGUGUGUGUGUGUGUGUGUGUGUGUGGCAAAGCUUCAGUAAUCAUACACUUACAACUAAUAAAUUGGGUCAUUUAAUUCCACUGCAAUAAGCCUUUGAAAUAUAAGCUCUCAUUUCAGACUUACAGAACAUAGCCUCUCAUGAUUGUAACUCUCCAGGACAUAUUACCACUUAUAAUUAAAUUCACUUUUAAGAAAUCUGAAGCACUUGUGUGGAUUAUCUCUCUAUUCAAUGUCAGGAUGGUAAAAUUAAUGUGUAAUCUGUUGAAUGCAUUU